rnacentral:rRNA from 1 species
UACGUAGGGGGCAAGCGUUGUCCGGAUUUAUUGGGCGUAAAGAGCGUGUAGGCGGCCAAGCAGGUCCGCUGUGAAAACUCGAGGCUCAACCUCGAGACGUCGGUGGAAACCGUUUGGCUAGAGUCCGGAAGAGGAGAGUGGAAUUCCCGGUGUAGCGGUGAAAUGCGCAGAUAUCGGGAAGAACACCCGUGGCGAAGGCGGCUCUCUGGGACGGUACUGACGCUGAGACGCGAAAGCGUGGGGAGCGAGCAGG